UACGUAGGGUGCGAGCGUUGUCCGGAAUUAUUGGGCGUAAAGCGCUUGUAGGCGGUCUGUCGCGUCUGCUGUGAAAAUCCGGGGCUCAACCCCGGACUUGCAGUGGGUACGGGCAGACUAGAGUGUGGUAGGGGAGACUGGAAUUCCUGGUGUAGCGGUGAAAUGCGCAGAUAUCAGGAGGAACACCGAUGGCGAAGGCAGGUCUCUGGGCCACUACUGACGCUGAGAAGCGAAAGCAUGGGGAGCGAACAGG
rnacentral:rRNA from 1 species